rnacentral:rRNA from 1 species
UACGUAGGGGGCAAGCGUUGUCCGGAUUUAUUGGGCGUAAAGAGCGUGUAGGCGGCCAGAUAGGUCAGCUGUGAAAACUCGAGGCUCAACCUCGAGACGUCGGUUGAAACCAUCUGGCUAGAGUCCGGAAGAGGAGAGUGGAAUUCCCGGUGUAGCGGUGAGAUGCGCAGAUAUCGGGAAGAACACCCGUGGCGAAGGCGGCUCUCUGGGACGGUACUGACGCUGAGACGCGAAAGCGUGGGGAGCGAACAGG